UACGGGGGGGGCAAGCGUUGUUCGGAAUUACUGGGCGUAAAGGGCUCGUAGGUGGCCAACUAAGUCAGACGUGAAAUCCCUCGGCUUAACCGAGGAACUGCGUCCGAUAUUGAAAGGCUUGAAUCCGGGAGAGGGAUGUGGAAUUCCAGGUGUAGCGGUGAAAUGCGUAGAUAUCUGGAGGAACACCGGUGGCGAAGGCGGCAUCCUGGACCGGCAUUGACGCUGAGGCGCGAAAGCUAGGGGAGCAAACGGG
rnacentral:rRNA from 1 species